rnacentral:rRNA from 1 species
CCUACGGGCGGCAGCAGUGGGGGAUAUUGCACAAUGGGGGAAACCCUGAUGCAGCGACGCCGCGUGUGGGAAGACGGUCCUCUGGAUUGUAAACCACUGUCCCCAGGGACGAAGAUGACGGUACCUGGGGAGGACGCUCCGGCUAACUACGUGCCAGCAGCCGCGGUCAUACGUAGGGAGCGAGCGUUGUCCGGAAUUACUGGGUGUAAAGGGAGCGUAGGCGGGACUGCAAGUUGGGUGUCAAAUCUACCGGCUCAACCGGUAGCCGCACUCAAAACUGCAGUUCUUGAGUGAAGUAGAGGCAGGCGGAAUUCCUAGUGUAGCGGUGAAAUGCGUAGAUAUUAGGAGGAACACCAGUGGCGAAGGCGGCCUGCUGGGCUUUGACUGACGCUGAGGCUCGAAAGUGUGGGGAGCAAACAGGAUUAGAUACCCUUGUAGUC